rnacentral:misc_RNA from 1 species
UCGAGUUUAUUCAACUCCCAAACCCUAUGUGAACUUACCACUUGUUGCUUCGGCGGCGCUUCUGGCGUCGCCGAGGGUACCAAACUCUUAUUGUUUUUACAGCAUUAUCUGAGUGGCCGCAAGGCAAAAAACAAAUGAAUCA